rnacentral:rRNA from 1 species
CUGCUGCCUCCCGUAGAAGUUUGGACCGUGUCUCAGUUCCAAUGUGGGGGACCUUCCUCUCAGAACCCCUAUCCAUCGAUGCCUUGGUGGGCCGUUACCCCGCCAACAAGCUAAUGGAACGCAUCCCCAUCGAUGACCGGAAAUUCUUUAAUAGUUCUACCAUGCCGGAAGAACUAUGCCAUCGGGUAUUAAUCUUUCUUUCGGAAGGCUAUCCCCGAGUCAUCGGCAGGUUGGACACGUGUUACUCACCCGUGCGCCGGUCGCCA